rnacentral:lncRNA from 1 species
UUCAAAAGUGCAGGUCUCGUCUCAAGAACAGGAUCACCAUCUGUAGGUCUUGUACUAAUCUAGGUCUCGUACUAAUCUGUUGGAAGCCUGCACCAAUGAAUUCCACCCCUUACUGAGCUUAGCAUGCACCCACAAUGCAAACACCAAGUUAAGAUAGAAAAAAACCAGAAUUAGAAUGGGUCUCAUAAAUAUGGCUCCUUCAAUAUUAA